GAUGAACGCUAGCUACAGGCUUAACACAUGCAAGUCGAGGGGCAGCAUGGUCUUAGCUUGCUAAGGCCGAUGGCGACCGGCGCACGGGUGAGUAAUACAUCGGAACGUGCCUAGUAGUGGGGGAUAACUACUCGAAAGAGUGGCUAAUACCGCAUGAGAUCUACGGAUGAAAGCAGGGGAUCGCAAGACCUUGUGCUACUAGAGCGGCCGAUGGCAGAUUAGGUAGUUGGUGGGAUAAAAGCUUACCAAGCCAACGAUCUGUAGCUGGUCUGAGAGGACGAUCAGCCACACUGGGACUGAGACACGGCCCAG
rnacentral:rRNA from 1 species